CGUAAUCGCGCGCUCGUACAGGUGCCCACGUACAAGCAGGUUGCUGUGAUUCCGGUUUUCGAUCCGUUCGGAGAGGAAUUCAAGUGCGCGCCUACUAGUUUUUUUUAUAUCGGUAACAUAAUUUUACUUGCGCAACAGCUACCGCAACAUCGAUCCGGAAAUCCUAUAGGCAAAAAAUGAGCAUAAACUGAAGAAGCUUCAACCUGUUCGACGAAAACAAAAACAGACAAAGUUAGAAAGUGAAAUUUUUGUUUGCGGCUGUGCCGCCAGGCGAAGAACCAAAAAAUAAAAAAAAAACCUAAGAAGCGAUCUUCCCGAUUCCAGCCAAUUGUUUGGAGGUCGUGCGUUUGCAGGUGAUCGCGCGGAAGGUCCAACCGCUUAGCUGCUGCAGUGUACGGUUUGGCGCACGCCCUGUCCCUGUUAGUGUAAGAGUGUGUGCGUGUGUGUGUAUCUGUUCCGGCUGGGUGCAAGAAAAACAAACGAGAGUGUGGCAAAAGAAAGAAGCGGAAAAAGAAACAGCAAACAAAUAACAUUAAAAGUCAAGUGUGGUGCAGAAGCGGAUUUCGCUGCGGCAGCAAGAAAAAAGAAAAUCGAAUCAGCAUAAAUUUGCUGCGCACCCCCUCCCUCCCUCAUUCCUACUUGAACCGAGCCUGAUUCGAUCGGUUCCAGCUGUUGGAAGCAACAGAAACCGCGCGCUAGCGGUGAAGGUGUUUCUUUUCGUAAUCAUCAUCAUCGAUCGGGGUACCGUCAUCGAAACGUGUUGCAGCAUUCCAGUUGAUUUUUGUAGCACUGGAAAGUAAACAACGAACCGGUUGCUGCGACGUUGCAGCAGCAUAAAUACUUAAAUACAACGAGAGAAAAAAUCGAUCAAGAGACGAACUGUUUGUUUGUUUUGAAAUACACGUUCGAUAAAAAGAGAGACCAUCUUGAAAGAGAGUGAGAAAAAGUGGAGAAAGAUGGAUUCAAUGGCCUCGUUCCGACUGCAACCGCACAAGCUCACAUCCAUACAGAUAAGCGCCGAAACAACGGUCUAUGCCAGCCUUGAUUCGAGCCUCGCCGCGCUGCAGCGGCAAAAGUCCACAGCUGAGGAAGAUAGUGGUAACAGUAAAAGUCUCCCCCCUGGUGUGGAGUUGUUUCUCUCUGCUGCUGCCGCUGCCGUCUCCGCCGAUGGAAUCGAUGAUGGAGAGGUAGAAAAAGUAGUUAAGCCAGAGUUGAAGAAAGAAGAAAGAGCUGAACCGAUCUCGAACGACGAGUCUAGUUCGGCUCCAAGUCCAGAGGCUCACAGCGACGACGACGACGCCGACUACGACGGUAACCACAAAGACGAGGGGCAACUGGUUGUGGAUUCAUCCAGAUCAUCUGCUGGUGAAGUCGAAGCUAGUGCCGUUGCCCUUGCGAGCGGCAGUUUGCUGGAGACCGUCCAGAAGAAACCAUCUCCGCCGUUGCCCGUGAUCACAGAACAGGAAUCGCACGUCGUACGCAUUCAGAUCGUUCAAAAGGAGGACAAUAAUAAUAAUAUAUACAACAGUUUUGUUAAUCAUACCACCAGCUCCGGCCCUGCAGUGAUCAGUGUUACCAACAACGGCCAGGCUACUGUGGUGAACAAUAAACAGUGCAAAUCAAAAGUGUCGAUUGUGUCGUUUGGACCACCAGAUCAGGAAGUGUCGCUUAGUCCAACUCCUGCCGAGAUGGUCCAGAAGCAGGCCAGUCCAUCGGCCACUCCUACGGCGAAAGUUGGAGACUUGGACGUAAACAACGCGACCUAUCUGUACUACAUGAUGUCCUCGGGUCAGUGUUCACCGAGUGACACCCUGGACAGUGGCACGUGCAGUGACAUCGAGGUGACUCCACCUCCGUUGCCGAAAAAGAUAUCCAAAUCACCGCUGCCGGCCAAGCAACAGCAACAGCACGCGACCACGACGCUGAUGAUGAUAGGCAGCCGGUCACCGACGCCUGCUGAUAAGCCUAAUCAGGGCGGAUACCUGCAUCAGCGCGUCGGUAGCAGCAAUUACACCACCAGCGAUAGUGAUGAAUCGGAGUCCAGUCUGAGCUGUGACUCACUUAAUUUUGCUCAACUUUGCGGAAACAUUAGUGCGUUAAAACUUGAUUCGGCUGCUCCCGGUACCGAUCCGCAUUCUCCGGUUCCAUCCGAAAAUCACAGUGACAGUGAACGCGAUAAUGGGGACCUCGGGUCCGCUAUCAAGAAGCAUAAAAUAGUGUCGUUCCUUCCGGACUCGUUGCUGAAGGACAUUCGCGAGCGGUCCAGUGUUGCCGGAUCGGGCCGUGUCGCCGCGAGUGAGAACGUUUCGCCACCAGCACCGUGUUCGCUUUCGCCGUCGCCGCGUGACGAUAUCGUAACGACGACCCGGUCGAUUCUGAUGGAGAAGAUUAACAGUUUGAAUAGUGUCCACUCGGGUGGCUCGGACCGGGCUAGGGCUGGGGAUGGUGGCGAUAGUAUGUGUUCAUCGUCGGCUACGGCCACCGUAGGCGGCGCAACGGCCGUCGGUAGCAACAAGUCGUUCAGUUUCGAAAACGAUAAGUUCUAUAAGUUCCAUAUGAAUGAAAAUUCGAAUCUGCAGGAACGCGCUAAUGGGCGGGCCGCCAACAGCUGCUCCUCGUCGGUUAUCGACGACGACGAGAGCUUCGCCGGGUUCAAGGAUUUAACCAGCGGAACUUCGACGAUUCGGAGCAAUAAGGGCACGGUGCGUGGGGUGAAGAACCGGGUGCGCAACGGUAUUGCGACGUUUUUGCAGAUGCAGCAGGCUAACAUGAAGAACUACAAGGAAAAGGAUGCCGGCAAGGUGGUGGUAUACACGACCAGUAUGGGUAUCGUACGGGAAACCUACACCAAGUGUGCGAACGUGAAGCAGAUUCUGAGGACACUGUUGGUCAAGUUUGAGGAGCGGGACGUCUUUAUGAGCAGUGACUACCAGCAGGAGAUCAAGGACCGGAUGCAGAACGAAGCGAUCAAUGUGCCGCAGGUGUUCGUUGACGGGCAGCAUGUGGGGGACGCCGAUUGCAUCGAACGACUCAACGAAACCGGCGAGCUGCGAAAAAUGCUAAAACCAUACAAAUGCCUCGAAUCAUCCUUCACGUGCAAAACCUGCGGUGGCUAUCGGCUCCUACCGUGUCCGUCCUGCGGUGGUUCGAAAAAGUCAAUCCACCGCAAUCACUUCACGGCUGAAUUCAUCGCACUCAAGUGCAUGAACUGCGACGAAGUAGGCCUGGUCAAGUGUUACAGCUGUUGAUUGUUUGGACAAAAACUAGUACGCGUAUGAUGCUGCUUGUGUGAGUGGGGAUGUGCGACCAAACGAUGGGUAAUGAUUGUCGUCACUAGGUGCACAGUGAAAAAAAAGUAUCGCUUGGAUAAUGGGAUCGUAUUGAUUGCGGAAGCUUGAUCUGGUGCGUGUGAAAUGAUGACAAUACCACAUUCGGUAUUCCGUCUUGGAGUUAAUUUAGGCGAUAGCUCAUCACAUAGUUUUGACACUUGAGAGUGGUGUGUUUUGCUGGGUUGAAUUUUAACAUCAGUAUUUAAUUGCUGCAUUUUAAAAUAAGGUUUUCGGCUACCAGAUUGGUCAUAUUCUAAUCUUCGAAAAAUUUCGAAAUCGUUUACCGAAAGAUUCCCACUGAAACAAAACCGAAUUCAGGCCUCGCCCUUCUUAGUGAGGUUGGAAUCCGCUAAACUGACUGGGGUUCAAUUUGUACUAGCGCAAUCCGAGUUAAACCAGUCGGAAUGUGAUUUGCAAUUGGGUUAUUAACCCAAACUAGGCCCUUUUCUUUUUGCUGGUUUAACUGUGAAAGAUGCUAACCCAUGUGACUAAAACGAUUGUCAAGUAAAACCGAUAGUGGCAACAUGGAAGUAUUAACAUUUUCGUAAAAAAUCAAUUAAAAAUCGUUCUAAAUUUUUUAGAUUUUAGUCAGUUUUGUUCUAUCGAUUAAUGUAAUAACAAAGCUUUCUUCAUUUAAUUAUGCAAAUGAAAUUUCGGAUGGAUUGAGUUGAAAUCUGUUUCAACUUUACACCAACAGGUGGUAUUAAUGUGCAAUAUGUCAUUGUAGAAUUAAGAGACUAGAUCAACCAUCUCAAAUUCCCAAACUGAAUGCUGAAGCUUACAACGCGACAAAACACACCGAAACGAGUUAUCAAUUCAAUGUGACAAAUUGUACGUACUACAUUGCAAUAUUAGUUUGAUAAGCCGCAGUAGUUGUGAUAACCGUACUUCGAUAGUUUAUUGUAAGCGACGAUGAGAACAGCUAUGCACCAAGCGUAUAUUUUUUCAUUUGCUAUUUGCUCAAACAGUAUCACGAUUGCUUCAACUUGCUGUAGUUAAGUUUAAAAAAAAUAGUUGUUUUGUUAUUCCUUUUAAUUAAUUGUCAAUUCCUCCACAAUAUGUUAUCGUUACUUUUAGCAACAAUCUGUCAUUUUUCGUAUAGGAAAACACGUCUUAUUUAUAUAUACUAACCUAGUAAUCCCUCAACGAGUAGCCCAACUCUACGUAAGCUUAGUAACCCUUAAAUGUAGUUUGCUGCGAAACUGGCUCAAGACUUUUAUGUUUAAUUUUGCGACCGAACGCGAAACAAACAAUACUAGAAAGAAAUCAAAGUUCAACGACUGCAGCUGAAUCGUACGCGAAAGCGGAAACAAAAGUUUUAGGCAUUUUUUGUAGUACAGUAAUUGACGCUAGUUGUAAGAUGUAAAUAAAGUCUAAGAAGAUGAAAUACAAAAGCAUAUCUAUUUCCAUUACCAUUAAAGCGAAGCAGAAAAUUUGAAGAAGCAGUAAAUCAUUUUAACCUAAUAAUAGAUGCGUUAUGAAGUUAUAUAGUUAAAACAGUCAAAGUUGCAUGAUUGCAGAAUACAUUCCAAUUUUGAGGUUAGGUAGUGCAUUUCGAAGAUUCCACCGAACUUCGGUAACGGUAGAAGCGGUAGUUCGUCAGAAAUGUUGCGGUUUGUUGUGAAUUGUACGCUUGCCUGGUGGGAUAUUUUGUAGCAAAAAGAACAUAGCUGAAAUAUUA